AGCAAUACAAUCCAGCAAAACAUAGGAUGUAGGGUAUUACUCUUCGGAGACCCGAACCUGUCUAAACCCACGUGUUCUUGUGAUUACCUUUGAGUUCUUGGUCUCGCAAUCCUCCCUGCCUACAAAUCUACCACUUGGGUAACCCCCUGUCUGCCACAUGGCCAAAGCCCACUCAUCCCUCUAAACACCCCAGGCACAAGUUUCCUGUGACAUUGCAACAUGUGUGGGUGCAGGCUGUGAAACCUGAGCAGGUGGUGAGAAAUCCUCCCCUGGCACAUCUUCA
rnacentral:lncRNA from 1 species